rnacentral:rRNA from 1 species
UACGUAGGGGGCGAGCGUUGUCCGGAUUUAUUGGGCGUAAAGAGCUCGUAGGCGGCUUGUCGCGUCGUCCGUGAAAACCUGCAGCUCAACUGCAGGCUUGCGGUCGAUACGGGCAGGCUAGAGUUCGGUAGGGGAGACUGGAAUUCCUGGUGUAGCGGUGAAAUGCGCAGAUAUCAGGAGGAACACCGGUGGCGAAGGCGGGUCUCUGGGCCGAUAUUGACGCUGAGGAGCGAAAGCGUGGGGAGCGAACAGG